GCCUGGGUAGCUCAGUCAGUUAAGCAUCCGACUUCAGCUCAGUCAUGAUCUCACGGCACGUGGGUUCAAGACCCACGUCAGGCU
rnacentral:tRNA from 1 species